GCCGCUGCGGUUUGACACAUUUCUCUGAUCAUGUGAUUUCAGAAUUGUGCAAGUUGCUGGGUGUGGCCUUUGUAGACUGAGCAUGCUCAGAGUAGCUUUAGCUCCAGGCAGUAAAAGAUAACGGCAAGCUACCGCUUCCUGCUGCUACUCUACCUUUGUCUACUCUACCUUCGUCUUACUGCCGUUUAUCCACAAGCUGUGCUGCGCUUUGGUCACGCUACCUGUGAGAGAGCUAAGACAAGAUAUAAAAGAAACACAUUAACAGGACAACGGAAGGCUUCAAUCCAAGGAGGAAUGUCCCGUCACACGGUUAAAAAAUAAUCAUAAAAAGAAAUCAGGCCCUCGGCCACAGCACCAGAGGACACUAAAUAGCAAACAACAGAAUUACCCAGAGGCAGGCAAGGGUCAAGUCUAAGUACACCAUCCAGCUGAGCAGAUCAUUAACAGAAAAAGCCAAACAAGAGACAGAGUCGUCCUGACCCCACAUUGUGUUGCUUAGCAGCAGAAGAUAAAACUUUGAUGAAGGCCUGCAAUCCAAACCAAAAGCUCGGAAUUCAAACUGCUCCGCAGACUCUGCAGAGGACACCUUUAACUUGGGGGGAGAAACUUUGAAACAAGUCCAGAAGAGAAGACCGAGCAAAGAACUGCAGCCGCAACAUCUUGUCAACAGAUUGUGAAAAAGUGGUUAAGCAUUUUUGCCGUAAUGAAGGACGAUAACAGGACAAUAGCAGGAGCGGUUAUCGGAGGAGUAGUUGGACUCUCGCUCUC